rnacentral:rRNA from 1 species
CCUACGGGAUGCAGCAGUGAGGAAUAUUGGUCAAUGGGCGCAAGCCUGAACCAGCCAAGUCGCGUGAGGGAUGACGGUCCUAUGGAUUGUAAACCUCUUUUGUCGGGGAGCAAGGCCCGCCACGUGUGGCGGGAAGGAGAGUACCCGAAGAAAAAGCAUCGGCUAACUCCGUGCCAGCAGCCGCGGUAAUACGGAGGAUGCGAGCGUUAUCCGGAUUUAUUGGGUUUAAAGGGUGCGUAGGCGGAAGGUUAAGUCAGCGGUCAAAUGUCGGUGCUCAACACCGGCCUGCCGUUGAAACUGGUCGUCUUGAGUGAGCGAGAAGUAUGCGGAAUGCGUGGUGUAGCGGUGAAAUGCAUAGAUAUCACGCAGAACUCCGAUUGCGAAGGCAGCAUACCGGAGCUCAACUGACGCUGAGGCACGAAAGCGUGGGGAUCGAACAGGAUUAGAUACCCGAGUAGUC